rnacentral:lncRNA from 1 species
AAGAGUAAAAAGACAAGGCAGGCGUGGUGGAGCAGAAACUUAAUCCCAGUACUUUGGAGGCAGAGGCAGGCCGAUUUCUGUGUUCCAGGCCAGCCUGGUUUAGAAAGUGAGUUCCAGGACAGCCAGGGCUAUACAGAGAAACCCUGUCUCAAAAACUGUCACAGCACUCUGGUGGAGUCAGCUUGAAAAAGUGAAAGCUGAGAAGCUGGUUUAUGAAGCAAAAGUUUCAAGGAAACUCCUUUCCUGGGGGCCUGGCAUUUUCUCCCUAAUCUAUAUAAACCAUAAAAUUAAUUUUUCCAUUCCCGCAUUAGUCUAGUGUAUGGAUCCACGUGCACUCUAUUAAGCAUUACCUUAUAGUAAAUGCCUUUUAAGAUUGUAUUCUAACAUAGCUAAAGCCUUUUCCCAGUGUUCUUAGAUUCCAGUUAGCAGCAAGGAGUUUAACCUAUUCAGUAACUAAUUAAGCACUACCAUAAAACAAUAAAGCACUAGCCAUUAAUUCAGUUGUCUGCAGAAAGAGUCUAAAAUUCUCACUGAGAUAGAAAUUCAUAUUACAGACUACAUCCCAUGCCAAGAGCAAAUUAGAAUACUAUACUGAUAAAUGGAAAGUCUCCAGACAAUAUAAUUUAACUAGGCCUAGAGAAUUUUGGGGUCAGUGACACUACAUUAUUCUUGAGGAGUGUCAAGAGGUAACAACCCCCUGGUACUAUUAACACUAAGUGUGAAAUUCCUUCCCUGCACUAAGCUGAUCCUAGGCAGGGCUUGUUAUCCCUAAUGUAAACAUUUAUCUGGUCCCUACAAAUUCCCUUUGAAGUCACUCCCCUUGCAUCUGUGCUAUUCUCUAGUGUUAAACAUUUAUCUGGUUCCUUUUGAAGUCACUCCUUUUGCACCUGGAAAAAUUCAAUGUGCCUUAUUCUGUUAUGAUUUGCAAUUUACUAUGUAUUAUAGAAAGUCUGAGGCUCGACUGGAAAAUUACAUUCAGAUUCAACACCUUUCUUGUGUGUGUGUCUGUCUGUCACUACAUCCUACUCUUUGCCCAUCUACUUACAAGAUCCCGUUCUAUGCAGAUUCAGGGACCCAGAGGGUCUGCAGCAAAAAACAAACAAAACAAAACAAAAAAAACCCAAAAAACAAAACAAAACGAACAAAGAAAAAGGAUAACCCUGAUUAAUGACUGACACAAAAGCUAGGAUGCAUAACAACCAACUCUCACAGGAAUUUGUGAGAAAAUGAUACACAAAGCAGCGCCCACCAUGCUUUCACCAGCAACCUUACUGGAAAUGUAUGAUCUCACUGCUCUCAUAUUUAAAUAAACAAUGGACCACUUAGAAGAUGAGUAUCCAACUCAUUUCAUUACAGUAGAAGCGUACCUAUCAACAAGAAAAGUGGGAUUAAAGCUGAACAGAAAUCACAGAAGGAAGUCAAGGAUCGCAUAAUAUACGUUUGUAAAUGGAUUUGAAAGACAUAGAACAAACUUUAAUAUCUAUUCCAAAUGUUUGAAAAUAAAACCACCAGCACAAUUGGUGAUCUCGACUACAACACUCGAGGGACCAUGGGAAAUAAUUUACUUCCUUCAAGGCUCUGAUGAAAAGAGAAGAAACAGGUUGUUGUCCCUGAUAUGGAAAACACCUGUGAUGUUACAGGCUAUAACAAGGUCAUCAACAUGGAUAGGGUGUUUCUCUUGUAUAAGAUUUUUUUCUAUUUCCUGACAUCAUAAUGAUAUAAAAUACUUUAUUUAUUUAGAUGGCUAGAGACAUGGCCAAGUAAUUAAGAAAAUUUCAUUCCCAGGGACAAAGUCAGGUUUAGACAUCUUGGUGUAUCUUCUGCUAGAAGAAGAUACAACAACUUAAUAAUUUUGGCAAUCAGCAUAGACAUUCACAUACUCACCCAAAGAUGCAGACAAACCCCGUAAAUAAAAUUAAACGAAGUUGGUCAGCAAAGAAAAUUUCAUUCAUGAUGUUAUUCUUGUAUAAACAUUGACUACUAUAACCCAGGGUUUGUGGCAAAUAACACUUAUCCAGAGUUUUUCUUCAUCAUGAGUUGGCUUAUAUAACAAAAAGCAAGCAUAGAGAAUUGAUGACAGAGAAAUCAAUACUUCUCAGUUAGUAGUGUCAUUUGAGGAGAUGUAGGAAAUAGCUGCCUGCUAGAGAAAAUAUGUCACUGAGGUUGAAUUUCAGAGUUUACGUCCUCAAAUCAUGUCUAGUCCUAACAUAUUCUCUCUCUCUCUCUCUCUCUCUCUCUCUCUCUCUCUCUCUCUCUCUCUCUCUCUCUCUCUCUCUCUCUCUCUCUCUCUUUCUGUUUUAUUGAGACAGGGUUUCUCUGUGUAGCACUGCAUGUGCUGGAACUCACUCUGUAGACCAGGCUGGCCUCGAACUCAGAAAUUUGCCUGCCUCUGCCUCCCAAGUGCUGGGAUUAAAGGUGAGUGACACCUCACCUGGCUCUAACCCUCUCUUUAAGGCUAUAGGUUGAGGAUGUGAGUUCUGAGCUCCUCCUUUAGCUGCCACAAAUUACACUUGUUGCCCUGACAAUAUCAUGGUGAUCCUAUAUCCCUUUAGAACUCUAAUGAAAUUUAAAUGCUUCUAAAAAUUGCCUUCAUGUUGGGGUUUCGUCUCUUGCUAUGACCUGUAAUAUUAAACGCAGGAAACUAAAAAAUGAUUGCUCCAUAGAAGAUCUGCACACAGCCCCAAGUGAAGGUGUGUGAUCUUGCUCUCAAGUUUCUUCUGACUGGUUAUUAAAGAUGACAACAAUCAAUAGCUGGACAGUAGCUGGGCAGAACAGACAUAGACAGGGAUUAGGGAUACUGGACUUGGGAUCAGUGGAGAACCACAAGGAGAAGAAAGUAGACAGAGAAAAAGCAGCCUUAAGUUAGCUCAACAAUAAAAUAAUGGAGUUAAGCAUAAACCAGAAGAAAUAAAGCAAAAUAAUAUGACAAAAUUACUGGCUGGGAAAUAGACAAGAUAGCAUAGAGGAUAGACCAAUAUCGAGUGUUGAUUAAGGUUUAUUAGAAAUAUAAACGUUGUGUUGUGUGACUUGCAAACUUUAUAUGCCCCAGUAUAGGGGAACGCCAGGGCCAAAGAGGGGGAGUGGGUGGGUAUGGGGGACUUUUGGUAUAGCAUCGGAAAUGUGAAUGAGCUAAAUACCUAAUAAAAAUGGAAAAAAAAUAAAUGUAACAAUCAAGAUAAUAAAGAUACUCAAAAAAAAAAAAAAUAAACGUUGUGUGUGUUUUACCUGGAAAAGAAAUGGCCAAGGCUGGGGUGGAAACCUUCGUUUGGUACUUCAGUUUUCUACAAUACCUUAGACAUUUUAUCACAACAACAGAAAAGGCACUUAUACUCACCAACAGUGUUUCACAACUGAACGAGUUAUUUCACGGACUUAAAGUAAACUGUGAAUUUUAAAUCAGUUACCUUAUCAAUGAACCUCACAGGGUUCAUUAUUGUCCUUAUGAGUUUCCAUGUAUGAACAAAAUAGAGACAUCAUCAUGCUUGAGCAGAUAGUUGACAUUUGCUAAAGGUUUUCUCAAGAAUGAAUAAUGUGUAAAUUAAUGUAACUAGGUUGGCACAAGAUGGAACCAUGUCCAUCAGAGUCAUAGACUACCUUAUUUUUGAGUUCUUUAAAGUCCUGAAAGAUUAUUGUGACAUGCAAACUUAAAGUGAUCCAGUACAUGCUAAAUGUUUUACUCUCGCAUACAGAUACUGUGACAUACAAAAUGUUUCCACAGUGGCUCCAUUUACAGGGUUAACCUGCAGCAUGGAUUUUUCUCAAGAAAAAAAAAAAAAACGACUGGUUUUAAACACAAGCUUUUACCACAUUCCUUAUUUUUAUGAGGUUUCUUACAAGUCUGUGUUAAUUUAUACAUGAUGAGAUCAAUGUCAAUGUCAACUGCAAAGGCCUUACCACAUUAUUCACACACAGUUUCUCUCUUCAGUGUCUUCUUUUAUGAAUUCUGAGAUAUAUCGUGUGCUCUUUUAUGUAUUCAAAGAUAACUGUGAUAGGCAAAGGUUUAGCACAUUGUGUAUAUUUAUACAGUCUCUCUCUGUAUCUCUCUGUCUGUCUCUCUCUCUGGAGUAUGUGCUCCUUGCUGCAUUAGGAGAUAACUGCCUGGCAUAGAUUUUUCCACAUUCCUUAUACUCAGAAGGAUUCUGACCCCUAAAAUAUGUUCAUGACGAUUAAGACUAUGAUCACAUCCAUAGUCUUUCUCUUCAGUACGUUCACUUAUACAUUCAGAAAUGAUGGCAUUGUAAAAAACUUUGCUCACAAUCCAAUUCCUUCGUAGCUUUUUUUCUCCAGUGUGGAUUCUUUUAUUCUUUUGAAGAUGAAAAUGUUUUGAAAAGACUUGACUUACACACACUGAAUACACUUGUAAGGUUUCUCUGUAGUAUGUCUUCUCUUAUGAAUUUGUAGAUUAUAAUGCUGGGAAAAGGCUUUAUCACAUUCAUUAAAUUUGAAGGGUUUCUCUUAGGUAUGUGUUUUCUAUGAAUUUGAAGAUGACAGUAUUGGGAAAAGCCUUUAUCACAUUCAUUACAUUUGAAGGGUUUCUCUCAGGUAUGUGUUCUUCUAUGAGUUUGAAGAGUACUGUAUUGAGAAAAGGCUUUAUCACACUGAUUACAUUUGUAGGGUUUCUCUCCAGUAUGUAUCCUUAUAUGUUUUUGGAGAUGACAUUUCUCAGAAAACGCUUUAUCACAUUGAUUACAUUUGUAGGGUUUCUCUCCAGUAUGUAUCCUUAUGUGGAUUUGGAGAUGACAUUUCUCAGAAAAGGCUUUAUCACAUUGACUACAGUUGUAGGGUUUUUCUCCAGUAUGUAUCCUUAUAUGUCUUCGGAGACUACAUUUCUCAGAAAAGGCUUUAUCACACUGAUUACAUUUGUAGGGUUUCUCUCCAGUAUGUAUUCUUCUAUGAGUUUGAAGAGUACUGUAUUGAGAAAAGGCUUUAUCACAUUGAUUACAUUUGUAGGGUUUCUCUCCGGUAUGUGUUCUUCUAUGAAUGUGGAGGUGAUAGUUAUGAGAAAAGGCUUUAUCACAUUGAUUACAUUUGUAGGGUUUCUCUCCAGUAUGUAUCCUUAUAUGUCUUUGGAGACUAUAUUUCUCAGAAAAGGCUUUAUCACACUGAUUACAUUUGUAGGGUUUCUCUCCAGUAUGUAUCCUUAUAUGUUUUUGGAGAUGACAUUUCUCAGAAAAGGCUUUAUCACACUGAUUACAUUUAAAGGGCUUCUCUCCAGUAUGUGUUCUUCUAUGAGUUUGAAGAGUACUGUAUUGAGAAAAGGCUUUAUCACAGUGAUUACAUUUGUAGGGUUUCUCUCCAGUAUGUAUCCUUAUAUGUUUUUGGAGAUAACAUUUCUCAGAAAAGGCUUUAUCACAUUGAUUACAUUUGUAGGGUUUCUCUCCAGUAUGUAUCCUUAUAUGUUUUUGGAGAUGACAUUUCAUAGAAAAGGCUUUAUCACAUUGAUUACAUUUGUAAGGCUUCUCUCCAGUAUGUGUUCUUUUAUGAUUUUGGAGAUGAAAGUGUUCUGAAAAGGCUUUAUCACACUGAUUACAUUUGUAAGGCUUCUCUCCAGUAUGUGUUCUUUUAUGAUUUUGGAGGAGA